CACAUACCAAUUUGUAAGUCGCUCUGGAUAAGAGCGUCUGCUAAAUGACUAAAA
rfam:Salmo salar isolate Sally breed double haploid chromosome ssa07, whole genome shotgun sequence.